rnacentral:rRNA from 1 species
GUGGGUGGGUAGGGAGAGCGCAGGGUAGAGAGAGACGUGCGUCGAGGAGCGACGCGGUGUACGCCGCCGACUUAGUCCGCUACAGGCCGCUUAAGACAAUGGCGCUUCGUGUCUAGUCCCAGGGGAGUGUGGUGUCACAGGAGAGUCGGCCGAUCUAGGCCACGAGUACCGGUGGUUUCGGGUGGGCGCUGGACAGGAGGGGGUACCGAUCCCAAAGCCCGUAGUCGAGGUAGCGACCACCGGUACAGCAGGAGGAGAGCAGGCUGCACGUCCCUCGUUACCGUACACCUGUCGGAACAACAACGAGCCCUGUUUCGUCAGUACCUCGAAAGGAGGAGGGGGAAGUCCGUCACUUACGUAGAACAACCCCACCAGACGUCGAGGUUAGCGGAGGUCGUCGUGGUGUAUUAGUUUCAAGGUUUGUAAUCCCGACGUGACGACGGGGUCGGUCGGUAAAGUGAAACUACAAAUAUCGGUGUGUGUGGUUGAGAUACGUCCCCCUGCGGUACCUCGUUCAGCUCAUUCACCUCGUACAGUACCUGCUACGGUACCAACCAUAUGAGAGAGGGAGAGGGAUGGCACGAUGAUGAGCAACACAGGUGCCGGUAACUCGGUACGAUCAUAGAUACGACUACAGGUACGUUUAAAUAUCCUAAACCCCGACAUCCAAAGUCACCUAUUUAUAUAGUCAACCAAGUGUGUUUUUUCGAAACUGAUAUCCACAUGUCUUAAUCGUUACCUAGAGAUCCGACGACUACUGGUACAUUUAAGUUAAGUCAAAUAAACCCCGACAUCCAAACAAGGUUUCGCGACACUCGUGGGUAUCCAAACAGACAAAGGACAACCUACUGACUUUGGUUGAUCUCGAUUUACAAAAACAAGUCAAAGUCUACCGAUUUUGGCAAAAGAAAGUCAAACAAUUGAUUGAUCUCUCUUCUCUUCUCUUCACCAUGACAGUGAGUGUAACGGGAACUUACGGCCACAGAAAACUAUUAGUAUUGUCUAAGUUUUCUAUAUACCUACUAAUAUACCCACGCACCGUUCAUAUGACGUUACUACUACUACUGCCACCUACGAAAGUCCUAAUCAAUUCAACAUCCCUACAACAAGGACAACCUACAACAAGGAGCUAAUUCAAAAUCAAGUUCAACAUCCCUACAACUACCUUCGGAAAAACAAAUUCAAAAAGACAGUUCUUUUUACAAAUCUAAUACGUAGUUUAGACCUACUACAAGGAGGACAUUAUAGGUGUUAACAUUAGGUUGUCAAAAUAGGUUAUAUACUAAAGAAGGAGAACACUU